rnacentral:rRNA from 1 species
AGUGAACGCUGGCGGUAGGCCUAACACAUGCAAGUCGAACGGCGGCACAGUAAGAGCUUGCUCUUACGGGUGGCGAGUGGCGGACGGGUGAGGAAUACAUCGGAAUCUACUUUUUCGUGGGGGAUAACGUAGGGAAACUUACGCUAAUACCGCAUACGACCUACGGGUGAAAGCAGGGGAUCUUCGGACCUUGCGCGAUUGAAUGAGCCGAUGUCGGAUUAGCUAGUUGGCGGGGUAAAGGCCCACCAAGGCGACGAUCCGUAGCUGGUCUGAGAGGAUGAUCAGCCACACUGGAACUGAGACACGGUCCAGACUCCUACGGGAGGCAGCAGUGGGGAAUAUUGGACAAUGGGCGCAAGCCUGAUCCAGCCAUACCGCGUGGGUGAAGAAGGCCUUCGGGUUGUAAAGCCCUUUUGUUGGGAAAGAAAAGCAGCAGGUUAAUACCCCGCUGUUCGGACGGUACCCAAAGAAUAAGCACCGGCUAACUUCGU